UCCAAAAGCGUAUAUUAAUGCUGUUGCUGUUAAAGGGUUCGUAGUUGAAUUGAGGGCCGUGAAGGGGUAUUUUUUCUGGUAAGUCCACGCCCAAGUCGGGCGUGGACCCAGACCCUUGCGGUCCGUGAACGAAGAAUUUUUAUUCGGAUACAAGAAACACGGGAAUGGUUCCUUCCCUGAUCCACGCAUGUCAUGCAUGCCAGGGGGCGUCCGUGAUUUUUACUGUGACUAAAGAAGUGUGACCAAAGCAGUCGUUCGACUUGAAUUAGCAAGCAUGGGAUAACAAAGGAGCAGCCUUUAGGCUACCGUUUCGGCUUUUGUUGGUUUUAGAGGUCUAUUGGAGAUUAUGGAGCCGUGUUUGACAAGCGUUCCGUGUUGGGYCCGCAAGGGYCUGCACUGUCGCCUGCGACUAGGAUUUCCGGCUGGCGGCGUAAGCCUCACGGUGGACCGUCGUUAGUUCGUGGCCUAGCCGCUUCUCGGCUUUCAGGAAUGAAGGAGGGUAGCUCGGGUGAGAACGUACUGGGGCGUGAGAGGUGAAAUUCUUAGACCGCACCAAGACGAACUACAGCGAAGGCAUUCUCAAAGGAUACCUUCCUCAAUCAAGAACCAAAGUGCGGGGAUCGAAGAUGAUUAGAGACCAUUGUAGUCCGCACUGCAAACGAUGACACCCAUGAAUUGGGGACCUUUUGGUUGUGCGCCGGGGACAUCUUCGCGAUGCACCCCGGGCCACCGUUUACAAACUUACGUGCAUAUUCUUUUAUGGCCCGGGCAACCGGUGUCCAUCUACGGGAAUGUCCUCAGCACGUUUCUUCUUUCUUCACGCGAAAGC
rnacentral:rRNA from 1 species